rnacentral:tRNA from 1 species
AACUAACUAAGCUUUAGAUAAGCAUUUACUUUGAAAGUAAAAAAUAAUAGUUAAAUUCUAUUAUUAGUUU